CUGCUGAGGGCAGAUAAAAUGAAUGUGUGAGUCAAUGCCGCCAGCCGUUACUAUCAUACCCUCGCCUGCAAGUGCCUCGGUAGAUGCACCAACCGUCAUGCCGGGUGUAACAUUUUCCAUAAUAUCGGGGUUGCCUGCAUGACCUAUUGCCGCAAUUUUACCGUCCUUAAUGCCUAUAUCCGCCUUGUAAAUGCCCGUAUAGUCAACAAUAAGCGCAUUUGUGAUAACCAAAUCCAAAUCGCCGUCGGCAGAGGUUGAGUUUACACUCUGACCCAUACCAUCCCU
rnacentral:sRNA from 1 species